AGCUCGACUUCCUCCCGACUCCGAGAGGCGGCGAGUCCACCCACUGGCGCGGUAACUCCCCUUGCUCGCCCCGGGAAAUGGCCCGCAGUUUGGCUGAGACGGGUGGGACACCCAAGGGACCAAUACCACCUUCCAUAAGAUGGGAUUCGAACCUAAAACUCGUUCCUAACGGCCUAGGUGCAAGAGCUACCCCUCCCUGAACUACGACUUCCUCAGGUUUCAGAGCGGACAGCUCCACGGCCCAGAAAGAGACGCAGGGAGGAGCCCAGCUUCCGCCUCGAAAGGGACUCUGGGACACUGGGCGGGCCCAGGAACGCAGUGUUCUUGGGAAAUGUGGUCCACAGCCUCCGCUGCGCAGGCGCCGUGGCCCUGCUCCACACGCGCACGGCUGAAGACCCCUAUCUCCGAGAGCGCGCACGCACCCUUCCGGGGUACGAGAAGGCGUGGCGGAUGCUGAGGCAGGCCCUACCGGUCUCGGUGGCGGUGUUGUGGUGAAGGCGGCCGGGUUUAUUUAAGGCUGACUACGAAUUUAAGUGGGAGAGACAUGCAGUUUGUAAGAUCUUCCCACCCCAAGGGGGAGAUCGGCAGCGGAAUGUGUCGCGCGCUGCCUUGGGUGCGCACCCACACACUGGCAAUAAUAAAUGCUUGCUUUAUUCCUUUAUUUAACAUCUUUCAAAUUAAUAAUUUGUUCCCUAGGAUACUCAAACUGACCAAUGAGGUUUUGUUUAUUUAGUUGUUUAUUUGCUUGCUUCUUAAGUGUUGUUAUAUAACAAAUUCAUGUGACGUGUGUUUCAAAUCCUUGUAGUUAUUAUUCCUAUUGAUACUCAAAUUGUUCCGUCUUUGACCUGUGGAAGCCUUUUUAGGUUGAUUCCUGAGGCCUUUAACAUCACCCUAGUUGUCAAUACUUCUUUGUUUUCUGAAAUGAUAAGGUAUACGAGGUUCAACUGGCACACUUCUUUCCCCAUACCUAGAUUUAAUGAUUUCUUCAGGAGGCCCUGGUUCCUUUUGGUGGGAGAUGGUAUUUACAAACCACAAUCUAGGUGCAAGGGCUACUCAUCAGUGUUGAAUAGUGAUGUGUCUAGACCUCUCCCAAAUAGAGCUACAGUUCAAACCGAUACUCCCAAUUCAAAUUCAAGCAACAGGAUUUUUACUUAACCUCAUCAGUCUUAUAUCUGUAUCUCUAUUCUCCAAUGUUGGAAACCCAAAUAUUAUCAGUUAUGCCAAUAUAAUUACUCAUUUACUUUAUCAAACAAUACACACAUUUUUAAAAAUUUCAGAACAAUUAUAAUAGUACCACCACCAUUAUUAUGGAAAAGUUUAAGAUUUUUUAAAAAUUAUUUUUGUCCUUAGAGUAUACCCUACUAGAGAUGUACAGUCAAGUCAAUGAAACUUAAAGUAACUUGGAAUAAUUUUUCUCUGGGUGUUAUAACACCAACUCCACAGUGUAGUAGACCAUAUGAUGGCCCCCAAAGAUAUCCAGGUCCUAAUCCUUAGAACUUGUGAAUGUUACUUUAUAAUGUCAGAAUGGAUUUUAGGUGUGCAUAAUUAGGGAUCUUGAGAUGGGGAGGUUAUCCUGUUUUUCCUGGGGAGCUCUGUAUGAAAUUACAAAUGCCUUAUAAGAGACAGGCAGAAGAAAAUUUAACAGGGGAGAAGAUGAUAAUGUGACCACAGAGGCACAUAUUGGAGUGAUGCAGUCAUUAACCAAGAAAUGCCAGUAAUCAGAAACCGG
rnacentral:lncRNA from 1 species